UACAGAGGGUGCGAGCGUUAAUCGGAGUUACUGGGCGUAAAGGGCGCGUAGGUGGUUUAAUAAGUGAGAUGUGAAAUCCCUGGGCUUAACCUAGGAACUGCAUCUUAUACUGUUAGACUCGAGUACUGUAGAGGGUAGUGGAAUUUCCGGUGUAGCGGUGAAAUGCGUAGAGAUCGGAAGGAACACCAGUGGCGAAGGCGGCUACCUGGACAGAUACUGACACUGAGGCGCGAAAGCGUGGGGAGCAAACAG
rnacentral:rRNA from 1 species